UUAGGAUUGUCUCCCCAACUGUUUCCCCAGAGAAGGAAAAUCAGUUUUAGUGCAGAAGGCCCGCUGCAAGGGGAUGUGACUAGGGUUGUCGUCGCCCACGUUCCUCGGCCCGACCCCGACGGCCGGCGGCGGCUCUCACCCUACGCAUCGCCUCCCAGCGAUCUCCUUCCUCGUCGUGCGCCUGUCUUCCUUGCCCCUCCAGAUGGAGAGAGGUGUGAAAGCCAAGGCAAAAUGGGAUUCAUUUGCACACAAAGUUUUUUGUGAGAUCUGUAUUCUGUAAGGAGGAGGUCAGUGCCGGGAACAGGCCAGAGGCAUAUUUAAAUGCCACGGGAUACAUGAAUCUACAGCAGAAGUUCUUGGCUAGGACAGGGAGAAAUUAUGAGAGGAAGCAGUUCAAAAACCGAUGGGACUUCUUGAAGACAGAAUAUGGUCAUUGGAUGACCUUUACACAGGCUGCAACUGGGCAGCAAUUGGAUUGCAAUUUGGGAACAGCAGAUGCCGACCAUGAAUGGUGGGUGAAGCUCAUCGAGGCCCACCCAGAAUUUGUAUAGUUCCGUAACGGAGCACCAGAAAACCUUGCUGAGCUUACCACCAUUUUUGACAAGACUCAUGUGACGGUUGCAACUUCUGCGAUCCUAGGUGAGCAUAUAGAAGACCCCACUGAUCUCUUUGAGGUUGAGGAUGGCAACAGUUAUCUGGAACUGGAAGACAACAAUGAUGUGGAAAGCAACAAGGCACCUGGCCAGAAAAUAAAGGAAGUGGAAAAGCAGAGGGCUGCUGCCAUUGCUGCUAGUCCAAAGACGAAACGAAAGCAACAAAAGAACCCUACGGUUCAGGAGUGCAGGCAUCUGGCAUACAUAAUGGCUGGUAGCACUUCGGUGACAUCUUCGACUGAUGUUCCAAGAGGCCAUGGGAUUAAAGACGUCAUCAAGUUGGCUGUGCAAUCUGGGGCGAAGGAAUGCAGCGAUCUGUUCUUCACGGCCACCAAGCUUUUUGUGAAUGUGGAUUAUAGAAAGAUGUUUAGUGCUUUGGAGACCAAUGAAGGAAGGCUCGAUUGGCUGAACAGGAUGCAUGAAGAGAUGUAGAAGAAUUAAUGUAUCUGCUUCUCUCUUAAUACUGAUCUUUUUCCGAGAUGUGAGGAUAAGACUCAUUUUCCCACACUUUUGGAAUUAAAGUAGAAGGGAGACUCGAACCUCAGUGGGUUGGUUUGCAACCUUGUACGCCCACUGCAAAGGAGAGUUCUCGUGUGAGUACUAAUCCGACAUUAUUAUGAACUCACCUUUUUUGUGAUUAUGUGACAUCUGGAUGGUAGGAUCACUUUCUGUUUUACAGUAUACUAGCCUUUACUGUCUUCCGAAGUGCAGAUUUUUUUAAAGCAGAACCAGUUGGCUCUAUGUAACUGUACUGUUCAUGUCCUGCACAUAGUUACUUUUUCAUUUACCAUAAUUUGGAAAAUUCUGGUUAUUUCUUCAUUCUUUAGCUUGAGAAGCUACUUUUGACGAAUUAAAGUUGACAGUCAAGAUAUUACCUUGAUAGGAAAAGCAUUUUUGUAGCCCUUAUAGAGUCAAUUAUAUCUCCGGAAUUGAUGGUCUUUUCAUCUGUUGAUAACAAUUUGUGGUCGCGUUGAUUGGUUACCAGGUUUCUCAGGUUCUUGUGCAUGCAGGCUCUUGCAGUUUCAACCCUGCAACAGCAGCCAUUCCCUGGGAAUGGUGAACUAACCCAAAUUAGUUUUGUUAGGACCAUUGCUUGUAGAGAAGCUUAUGUUUGAUGCCUUUUUGAGGCAUUUGACCUUUCUUGUCCACUUAACGAAGUAGUUGCUUAAUUCCGGAGAUAGUUU